AACGACUGACUAUCUAUAUUGGGCAAUGUGUUUGGACAUAACUGAUGAUAGUAAACAGAACAGGAGUUCCCUCUCUGUAAAUCCCAAAUAAUCUGGGCUUCAAGAGAUGGUCUGUCGCAUGAGUCAUGCCCCAGAGCCAGCAUCAGCAUUUUGGCAAGUAGCCCACAUUAUGGAAAUUCAGCAAGCAAACAAGAAAAAGAUAGAAUGAUCAAAGAACACUUUGCUGCCGGGGGUCUUCUGACAGCUGGGGAAGUGAGGAGAGUACACUCAAAGACAGCAAGCUAAAGGAGGCUCUGGAUACUACAGUUGCCAUCAUGCUUUGUUGUAAUUAUAUGAUAGCAAAGUAUUUGUUAUAAAAUCAAAAGGCUUUAUGAGAAGAGGGAAUUAAAGAGUCCUGUUAAAUUCCUUUAAAAUGUAUCUGUUAAAAGCUUACA